UACAGAGGUCUCAAGCGUUGUUCGGAUUCAUUGGGCGUAAAGGGUGCGUAGGUGGCGCCGUAAGUCGGGUGUGAAAUUUCGGAGCUUAACUCCGAAACUGCAUUCGAUACUGCGGUGCUUGAGGACUGGAGAGGAGACUGGAAUUCAUGGUGUAGCAGUGAAAUGCGUAGAGAUCAUGAGGAAGACCAGUGGCGAAGGCGGGGUCUCUGGACAUGUCCUGACGCUGAGGUGCGAAAGCGUGGGGAGCAAACAGG
rnacentral:rRNA from 1 species